AUGAACCAAGCACCACUAUCUGCUAGACCGUGGCGGCAGAAUCGAGCACGGGUGCGCGCGGCCGUCUCACCCGUGACCGGUGGCUGCUUCGCGUUCGUCGACAGAUUGCGAUGCUGCUGCUGCUCGUAUGGGCUCCCGGUGACCAGGCCAGCAUGCGCUGGGGCUGCCUGGGCUCCCAGCAGCCGGCCUCCCCGCCGCCUCCAACAUCGCCUGGAGAGGAGCUCCUCUGUGCUUCCGAGCCGCCUCCUCGAGCAGGGCAGCCAGAGGGAAGGGAGUCAGCACAUGGAACACAACUGGAACGCCCCGCCUUGGAGCUCGCUGCCUCCGGCAACCUCUUUGUCGGCCUCGUGCUCCUCUGUCUCGAGCACCCCCUCCUGGCCGCCGUCCAUCUCUUGGUGUUGUCUCCUUCAGGCCGAGGAGGAUGAGUGGGGCUCUCGCAGCUGGGCCACUGCGGCCGCGUUGACUGAGGAUGAGCGCGCGUGUCCGGCGCAUAUGGCCCGUCCUCCGCGCCUCCGCUCCUGCUCCUCCUCUCGCCCGGGCAACGUCCCGCUCACGCCCUUCAUGUGCUCGCCGCCGUCGUUCUGCGCCCGAUCGGAUCGGGAGCACCGCAGCUCGAUACAGCCCAAAAAGAUCUUGAACCGCCCGCAGGAUCUGGCCAUCGCGGCAUUGGACAAUGACAAGGAGACAGUCGCUGAUGGAAGCUUGGACAGCAACGACAACGAUGCAGAGCAGGAUGCAGCUAUGGAUGCUCUAGUCCUCGAGAUUUUCGCCUUCUCCAAUGAUAGGAGCGAGGACGAGGAGGGAGAGGAACAUUUGGCGAAGGGGGUCGAACUUCCUUCUGCGAAACCUGCUUCAGGGCAUUAUCAAGAUGGGAAGGCUUCUGCUUUGAGGGAAAUCAAGAAGAAGAGAGAAGAGUUGUUUGAUCUGAUUGCUGACACAGAAAGGCGAUACGACACCCGGCUUACCAAGGAAGGCUGUCAAAACACACGCAUGCUCCAGCAGCUUGCGGUGCAAAUCGAGCCUAGACCCAAUGACCCCUUGUGGCGGUUGAAACGGUUUUCGAAGAGACUCAAUGAUUUUCUGGGGCUAGCCGGGGCUGUUAUAUCAUCCUAUAUGCUUACGCGGAAGUGGCUUCACUUGGACCAAGAGGCAGAUCCAAAAGGGGAGAAGACCUAA
rnacentral:rRNA from 1 species